rnacentral:rRNA from 1 species
ACUUUGCCGGCGAGCGGCGGACGGGUGAGUAAUGUCUGGGAAACUGCCUGAUGGAGGGGGAUAACUACUGGAAACGGUAGCUAAUACCGCAUGACCUCGCAAGAGCAAAGUGGGGGACCUUCGGGCCUCACGCCAUCGGAUGUGCCCAGAUGGGAUUAGCUAGUAGGUGGGGUAAUGGCUCACCUAGGCGACGAUCCCUAGCUGGUCUGAGAGGAUGACCAGCCACACUGGAACUGAGACACGGUCCAGACUCCUACGGGAGGCAGCAGUGGGGAAUAUUGCACAAUGGGCGCAAGCCUGAUGCAGCCAUGCCGCGUGUGUGAAGAAGGCCUUCGGGUUGUAAAGCACUUUCAGCGAGGAGGAAGGGUAUCGUGUUAAUAGCACGGUACAUUGACGUUACUCGCAGAAGAAGCACCGGCUAACUCCGUGCCAGCAGCCGCGAAU